rnacentral:rRNA from 1 species
GGCGUCAGGACGAACGCUGGCGGCGUGCCUAACACAUGCAAGUCGAGCGGGGACAUACGACGGAUCGGAAGUUUCGGAUGGAAGUGAAGAUGUAUGUUCUAGCGGCGGACGGGUGAGUAACGCGUGAGCAACCUGUCCUUCACAGGGGGAUAACACAGCGAAAGUUGUACUAAUACCGCAUAAGACCACACCGGGGCAUCCCGGAGGGGUCAAAGGAGCAAUCCGGUGAAGGGUGGGCUCGCGUCCGAUUAGAUAGUUGGUGGGGUAACGGCCUACCAAGUCGACGAUCGGUAGCCGACCUGAGAGGGUGAUCGGCCACAUUGGGACUGAGACACGGCCCAAACUCCUACGGGAGGCAGCAGUGGGGAAUAUUGGGCAAUGGGGGGAAACCCUGACCCAGCAACGCCGCGUGAGGGAAGAAGGUUUUCGGAUCGUAAACCUCUGUCCCAGGUGAAGAGUAAGAGACGGUAGCCUGGGAGGAAGCCCCGGCUAACUACGUGCCAGCCGCGGC